GGGUCAGUAGGUUGGUCGUGCCACCGGUACGUACUGGUCUCACUGAUUCCUCCUUCCUGAAGAACCGUAAUGCCAUUAAUUUGGUGUUGCGGGGAAACAGGAUUGUUACUUUGAAAAGAUUAGAGUGUUUAAAGCAAGCUAACGCUUGAAUACAUUAGCAUGGAAUAAUGAAAUAGGACGAUCGAUCCUAUUUUGUUGGUUUCUAGGAUUGACGUA
rnacentral:rRNA from 1 species